AGAGUUUGAUCAUGGCUCAGAAUCAACGCUGGCGGCGCGCUUAACACAUGCAAGUCGAACGAGAAAGUCCGCAAGGAUGAGUACAGUGGCGCACGGGUGAGUAACACGUGGGUGAUCUGACUCUUAGUGGGGAAUAACCCUGGGAAACCGUGGUUAAUACCGCAUAAUCCCGAGAGGGGAAAGCAGCAAUGCGCUGAGAG
rnacentral:rRNA from 1 species